AAUCAACGCUGGCGGCGUGCCUAACACAUGCAAGUCGAACGAGAAAGUGGGGGCAACCCUGCGAGUACAGUGGCAGACGGGUGAGUAACACGUGGGCAACCUGCCUUGGAGUGGGGGAUAACACCGGGAAAUCGGUGCUAAUACCGCAUAACAUACACAUACUGCAUGGUGAGUGUAUCAAAGGAGCAAUCCGCUUUAAGAUGGGCCCGCGGCUGAUUAGCUAGUUGGUAAGGUAACGGCUUACCAAGGCGACGAUCAGUAGCCGACCUGAGAGGGUGACCGGCCACACUGGAACUGAGACACGGUCCAGACUCCUACGGGAGGCAGCAGUGGGGAAUAUUGCGCAAUGGGGAAACCCUGACGCAGCAACGCCGCGUGGAGGAAGAAGGUCUUCGGAUUGUAAACUCCCGUCUUCUGGGACGAAGUAUGACGGUACCAGAGGAGGAAGCCACGGCUAACUACGUGG
rnacentral:rRNA from 1 species